rnacentral:rRNA from 1 species
UACAGAGGGUGCGAGCGUUGUCCGGAAUCACUGGGCGUAAAGGGCGCGUAGGUGGUGGCUUAAGCGUGCGGUGAAAGCUCGGGGCUCAACCCCGAGUCGGCCGUGCGAACUGGGCUCACUGGAGCAUAGUAGAGGCAGGUGGAAUUCCGGGUGUAGCGGUGGAAUGCGUAGAGAUCCGGAAGAACACCGGUGGCGAAGGCGGCCUGCUGGGCUAUGGCUGACACUGAGGCGCGACAGCGUGGGGAGCAA